rnacentral:rRNA from 1 species
GACGAACGCUGGCGGCGUGCUACCUACAUGCUCAUCGAACGCUUUUCUUUCACCGGAGCUUGUUCCACCGAAAGAAAAGAGUGGCGAACGGGUGAGUAACACGUGGGUAACCUACCCUCGAGCGGGGGAUAACACUUGGAAACAGGUGCUAAUACCGCAUAAUAACAAGAGAAGCAUUUCUUUUGUUUGAAAGUCACAACUGCGACACUCGAGGAUGGACCCGCGGUGCAUUAGCUAGUUGGUGAGGUAACGGCUCACCAAGGCCACGAUGCAUAGCCCGACCUGAGAGGGUAGAUCGGCCACACUGGGACUGAGACACGGCCCAGACUCCUACGGGAGGCAGCAGUAGGGAAUCUUCGGCAAUGGACGAAAGUCUGACCGAGCAACGCCGCGUGAGUGAACGAACGAUUUUCGGAUCGUAAAACUCUGUUGUUAGAGAAGAACAAGGGUGAGAGUACGAAUGUUCACCCCUUGACGGUAUCUAACCAGAAAGCCAUGGCUAACUACGUGCCAGCCAGCCGCAGGUAAUAC